rnacentral:rRNA from 1 species
AGCCGCGGUAAUACCAGCUCUCCGAGUUGUAGGGAUGAUUAUUGGGCUUAAAGCGUCCGUAGCCGGCUUAGCAAGUCUCCUGUUAAAUUCAGCGACCUAAUCGUUGAGCCGCGGGAGAUACUACUAGGCUAGGAGGCGGGAGAGGUCGACGGUACUUUCGGGGUAGGGGUGAAAUCCUAUAAUCCCGGGAGGACCACCAGUGGCGAAGGCUGUCGACUAGAACGCGCUCGACGGUGAGGGACGAAAGCUGGGGGAGCGAACCGGAUUAGAUACCCGGGUAGUCCCAGCUGUAAACGAUGCGGGCUAGGUGUUGGGGUGGCUACGGGCCACUUCAGUGCCGCAGGGAAGCCAUUAAGCCCGCCGCCUGGGGAGUACGGCCGCAAGGCUGAAACUUAAAGGAAUUGGCGGGGGAGCACCACAAGGCGUGAAGCUUGCGGUUCAAUUGGAGUCAACGCCGGGAACCUUACCGGGGGCGACAGCAGGAUGAAUGCCAGAUUGAAGGUCUUGCUGGACAAGCUGAGAGGUGGUGCAUGGCC